AGUGAACGCUGGCGGUAUGCCUAACACAUGCAAGUCGAACGGCAGCACAGUAAGAGCUUGCUCUUACGGGUGGCGAGUGGCGGACGGGUGAGGAAUACAUCGGAAUCUACUUUUUCUUGGGUGAUAACGUAGGGAAACUUACGCUAAUACCGCAUACUACCUACGGGUGAAAGCAGGGGAUCUUCGCACCUUGCGCGAUUCAAUUAGCCGAUGUCGGAUUAGCUAGUUGGCGGGGUAAAGGCCCACCAAGGCAACGAUCCGUAGCUGGUCUGAGAGGAUGAUCAGCCACACUGGAACUGAGACACGGUCCAGACUCCUACGGGAGGCAGCAGUGGGGAAUAUUGGACAAUGGGCGAAAGCCUGAUCCAGCCAUACCGCGUGAGUGAAGAAGGCCUUCGGGUUGUAAAGCCCUUUUGUUGGGAAAGAAAAGCAGCAGGUUAAUACCCCGCUGUUCUGACGGUACCCAAAGAAUAAGCACCGGCUAACUUCGUG
rnacentral:rRNA from 1 species